rnacentral:tRNA from 1 species
UGGCUCAGUUGGUAGAGCAUGGUGUUUACACCAGGGUUGUGGGUUCGAUUCCCAC